UGGGGAAUAUUGCACAAUGGGCGAAAGCCUGAUGCAGCGACGCCGCGUGAGCGAAGAAGUAUUUCGGUGUGUAAAGCUCUAUCAGCAGGGAAGAAAAUGACGGUACCUGACUAAGAAGCUCCGGCUAAAUACGUGCCAGCAGCCGCGGUAAUACGUAUGGAGCAAGCGUUAUCCGGAUUUACUGGGUGUAAAGGGAGCGUAGACGGAGAGGCAAGUCUGAUGUGAAAGGCGGGGGCUCAACCCCUGGACUGCAUUGGAAACUGUUUUUUCUUGAGUGCCGGAGAGGUAAGCGGAAUUCCUAGUGUAGCGGUGAAAUGCGUAGAUAUUAGGAGGAACACCAGUGGCGAAGGCGGCUUACUGGACGGUAACUGACGUUGAGGCUCGAAAGCGUGGGGAGCAAACAGGAUUAGAUACCC
rnacentral:rRNA from 1 species